GCGUCCUCCACUGUGGGGUGCGAGUCCUGCAGGAAGAACCGGUGGCCGGGCUCCCCGGCGCCGGCCCUCCGAUGCCUAAGUCAGAGGGGGCGAAUAUGUGGAGAGAGCAGGGAAGAAAAUGUGUGGAGAAGACAGCAUGAAUAUUUUCAUCAGAUCAAGAAGAUGAAGAAGAUGAUGUCAUCCAUUGUAUCUGUGCUGUUCAAGAGGGUUCAGUCCCGAGGGUCCUGAGAGUCCUCAGAGUCCAGACCCCAGGGUCUAGUUACCAGGGUCCAGUUUGGGUCCGAGUCCCUUUCCCAGUCCAGUCCCCUUCCCAGUCCAGUCCCCCCUCCUCUUCCCCCCAGGUUCCUUUUAUAGGAGGAUUCGGUUACCUGGGAGGUGACAGUAGGCUUGUCCCAUUCUGUAAUAAUUGGGCACGAUUUGGCCCAUUAAUGGCGUGAUGGAGAACGGGACCGGAUCAGACCGGAAUCAGGGAGUUGUCACGGUCGAUCGGAC
rnacentral:lncRNA from 1 species